rnacentral:tRNA from 1 species
GGCCAAGUAGCUCAGUUGGUAGAGCAGAGGACUGAAAAUCCUUGUGUCGACGGUUCGAUUCCGCCCUUGGCCACCA